ACCCAGUUGACGAGUCUCAAAUAGGACGAAACAUGCGUCCUAGAU
rfam:Schistosoma mattheei strain Denwood, Zambia genome assembly, scaffold: SMTD_scaffold0003672